UGGGGAAUAUUGCACAAUGGGCGCAAGCCUGAUGCAGCAACGCCGCGUGAGGGAUGACGGCCUUCGGGUUGUAAACCUCUUUUAGUCAGGAAGAAGCCUUCGGGUGACGGUACUGGCAGAAAAAGCACCGGCUAACUACGUGCCAGCAGCCGCGGUAAUACGUAGGGUGCAAGCGUUGUCCGGAAUUAUUGGGCGUAAAGAGCUCGUAGGCGGCUUGUCGCGUCUGCUGUGAAAUCCUGAGGCUUAACCUUGGGCGUGCAGUGGGUACGGGCAAGCUAGAGUGCGGUAGGGGAGAUUGGAAUUCCUGGUGUAGCGGUGGAAUGCGCAGAUAUCAGGAGGAACACCGAUGGCGAAGGCAGAUCUCUGGGCCGUAACUGACGCUGAGGAGCGAAAGCAUGGGGAGCGAACAGG
rnacentral:rRNA from 2 species